AGAGAGGACUUAAAAUGCUUUAGGAUUAAUUUCAAUCAAAGUAACGAUUUUUAAUCUAUUAAACAAGUGAAAUUAAGACCAUAACAAGGUUGAAGUGCGAAAUCUUAAUUCUGGAACUGUUUAGUCAAUUGAUUCUUAAUUUAAGUUCAUAACUUUAUCUCCUUUUAAAUUCUCAGCAUCUAUAGUUGUAGUUUAGAAUUAAUCUCUCAACACGUUCAGUAGUUUAAAUAGUCAAAAUUGCUGCCUAACUUGGUACUUAUGCCUAUAAAACUCACUACUGUAUUACUUGUUUGUGAUCUGUGCGCUUGUGGGGUUAUAAACUAGCAAAGAAAUACCAUUAGAAUUUCUGAAGUACUACAUUGUUAAAAAAUUAAGGAUCAUUAAAGCAAUGAAGAAGUCAGGUAAUGAAUACCU
rnacentral:misc_RNA from 1 species